ensembl:lncRNA
GCACAGACAGAUGGGGACAGAUGGACACAGAUGGGGACAGACAGACGGACACGGAUGGGGACAGACGGACACAGACAGAUGGGGACAGACGGACACAGACAGAUGGGGACAGACAGACGGACACAGAUGGGGACAGACAGACGGAUGUGGAUGGGGACAGACAGACAGAUGGGGACGGACAGACGGACAUGGAUGGGGACAGAGAGGCACAGACAGAUGGGGACAGACAGACACAGAGGGGGACAGACAGACACAGAUGGGGACAGACAGACGGACAUGGAUGGGGACAGACGGACAUGGAUGGGGACAGACAGACAGACACAGAUGGGGACAGACAGACGGACGUGGAUGGGGACAGACGGACACAGAUGGGGACAGACAGACGGACACAGAUGGGGACAGACAGACAGACAUGGGGACAGACAGACAGACAUGGAUGGGGACAGACAGA